GGAGAUUUCUACUUAGUGAUUCAGUGAUCUAAUUAUCAUCAUAGUUGGCAGAGCCGUUGGAUCACAGUAAAAAUCCUUGCAAGAACAGAAAGACUUUGUUCCAGAAACAUCUGAUAAAACAUAUAUAUUUUAUAUUGAAAUGAAACAUGCUAACGACUGGA